rnacentral:rRNA from 1 species
UACGAAGGGGGCUAGCGUUGCUCGGAAUCACUGGGCGUAAAGCGCACGUAGGCGGCUUUUUAAGUUAGGGGUGAAAUCCUGGAGCUCAACUCCAGAACUGCCUUUGAUACUGAAGAUCUUGAGUUCGGGAGAGGUGAGUGGAACUGCGAGUGUAGAGGUGAAAUUCGUAGAUAUUCGCAAGAACACCAGUGGCGAAGGCGGCUCACUGGCCCGAUACUGACGCUGAGGCACGAAAGCGUGGGGAGCAAACAGG